UCCUGCGGAUACUAGCCCAUCUGGUAAUCUUAAUCAGAUACUCUCUUGUUCCUAACAAGUGCUCACCUCUCACUGAACUACCAACUUCGCUAAGGGAGCCUCUGGAUCCCCUUACCUUGUCCUGGUAUCAUCAACUCCUGUCCCUGUAAGCAGCGAAGACUCUGUUCCGCUCCGGCUCUCAGCUGUUAGGCGGGUGAUGUCACCAACAGCUGCUCUCCUUCACUUCCGUGUUCGCCAUGGCUCACGCUCACAGACAGAGAACGAGCCGCUGCACAUUGACAAGUAUUCCUGGGAGCCAACCGCACUAAGCCUCCUGUUCACACGGCCAGGGCUCUGGCAAAAAGACGAUUGGGUUAGCAAGAUCUCCAGCCAGCGUACAAAAGGUUCCAGUACCUCAAACCCUGGUACAUCUGGCCUUCUGAUGCCCCUGAAUUGAAGUCCUGCUCUGCUACCUCCAGGGACCUUUACUUGUUCAACUUCCUCCCAUAGUUUAUCAUCUGCUGACACCCUGUUAGAUGCCUUGUUAAAUGUGCGGAUCAGCACCCCUGAAGGAACAAUCUAUAUAGGCAGUGACAAGAAGAAACAGGACAAAGUGGGUAUAGAUCCUCACAUAUCUUUUUGGCCAAUUUUAAAUGUAACUCCUAGAGGUGACAGAUCUUCACCACCACCACUCACACUACAAUGCCUGGGGUGCAUUCUCUUUCUGUAAGAUGGCAGCAACAACAUAGCCGUAAUACUCACCAGAGGCACUAUUACCCUAGCAGUCCUCCAGACUCUCACAUUCCACAAAGACCUGGAAAGUCCUGUCUGCCCGUACAAUUCUCCAAACCCUCACAUGCCUCAAGGUCCUGACAGUCCUGCCCGCCCUGACUUACCAGCCUGCCUUUACAGUCCUCCACAAUCUCACAUUCCUCCAGGUCCUGACAGUCCUCCAGGCCAUCAUUGGAAGGUAUUCCUAAAUUGUAUUUUCCUUUGAAUUUUAAUAAUCUUCACUAUAUAGAUUUUUUAGCAUUAUUUUAAUACAUUUUUACCCUUAUUUAUUUAAAAAAAACCCAGCUGAUAUGGAACACAAAAGAAAAUUAAGAAAAAAGAAAGUAAAACAAAUUCUCAGACAUAAAAAAAUGAAAAAAGCUUAAAUAAAAUUUCUGUAAAGCUAACAGAUUUUGAAGAAUUUUUUUUCUUCAAAUUUUACAUGAUGAAAA